GGACAUAGAUGAAGCUGGGAGCCAUCAUACUCAGCAAACUAACACAGGAAUAGAAAACCAAACACCGCGUGUUCUCACUCAUAAGUGGGAGUUGAACAAUGAGAACACAUGGACACAGAUUUGCUGUCUGGAGAGAUAUAUGAAAUUUAAAGAUGGCAAUCCAUUCCCUUCCCAUCAUGCUUCUUUUUCUACAGGUAAGCAUUUUUCAUUUCUCUAACUUUCCAACUCUUCUCCCAUAUCCUAAUAUUCCAAAGCUUUAUCAUUCUAUUUAUAUAUCUUUGCACACACUUUUUUUUUAUUUCAAUUUGAUCCUUAAAUUGCGAAGUUCAAACUAAGCAUAAUGCAUUAGGUACAUUCUUACUUAGAGCAAUGUGUGGGCAGCACUGGAUUUUUCUGGGCAUGCGUUUGUCGCAAGGCAACUUAACUUCAAAUUAACUCUUAUUAGAGACAUACACUUUUAUGACUAAUAGUCUUCUUAUAAUCACGCCAUCUUCCAGUGUAUACUUACAUGAUUUAUUUACUUUUUAAAUCUGAAAAUAGAAUAUUAUACUUUUUCUAAACACGAUGAAAUGAAAACAAGACAUAUGAUUUAUCCUAAAAGAAUUGAUGAGCCAGUAGGGGGCACACAGGAAACAUCUAGGAAACACUACACUGUGAAAUAUUCACUUAAAUGAAUGAACCAAGUAUAUUGCAAAGGAGAAUUAAAUAGAUACCUUAAUAGAGACAAAUAACAUGGUAUAGCAGAAAAAGGAAAAGAGUUUCAUUUCCACAUAAAAUUUCAAGAAAGUUUUUAUUGCAUAAUAAAUUUUACUAAGUUUGGAAGGAAAAAAUAUAGAAGCAUUGUAUUGCAUUAUUGUUUUUGGUUUAUUUGUUUUUCUCUCUUAUUUGAUCAUGUUUAUUUUAUAGUAGAGACCUAACCUAAUAUUUAAUGUCUUUAAUACCAAAUAUAGUGCCUAGCCUAGUGCAGUUAUCAUAUUCAUGUUGAAUUAAUGAGUAAAUGAUGGAUAUUAUUGGAAAAAGAUACAAGGUUAGAAAAAUGUUAGUAAUAAAAUGACAUGGUAGAUUCUUUGUUUACUGUAAUUUUAAUGCAGGUUUCAUGAGGACCUUGGUUUUCAAAAAAGACCAUCAAAAGGUCAGUUAAUGUCAACAUAAUGGCAGUUGUGUUUGCCAUGGUAAGAAUGUUACUGUGUGGAGGUAGGAGAUGAUCUUAAAGACAGGUGUGACAUGAUAGGCAUUGUCUUCUAUGAAUAUGCUACUUAGUAAGGAAAAGGAUACACUUGAAAAUUUAAAUAGAGUGGGAAGAUGAGAUCAGAAACUAUUGUAAUCAUGAAGACAGAAUGUAAAGGGUCAGAAUUAGGGCAAUAUCACAAGACAUUUGUAAAAAGUUUUAUUAGAUAUAAUUCACAUCAUAAAGAUUCAGAUUACAGAUUUCCUGGAUGACUUUUUAGUUGAAAUGGUAGGAAAACAGAAGUUUAGAAAUCUACCCUGUGUAUCUGAGAAGACUAAUGUGACUCAAGAAAGUCCUGAUGUUCAAUACCCUAUUUAGUGUAUUAAAUGCAAUGAAUUUUUCUAAGUAAUUCUUGUAUUACAUUUAUAUGUACUCAAAGGUAAGGUAUUUCUUUUCCUGUGUUCCUGGUCAUCAAUUUAUUUAUUUAUUAAUUUAGGAAAACAUUUAUUUAGUCACUCAUUUAAACUAUAUGUUUUAAACCGUUGUAGACUAUAACACCACAAUGGGGUACCAGACAGCUAUAUUCUACAUAAAAUUGUUUUCAAAGUUUCCUGAUGUCAAUUUAUCUUCCAGAGAAACCCAGAAAAGGGGGAACUAUUGAAUUUCUAUCCUGUUAACAAUAACUUUCACUAGGUUUUUCUCAAAUCCAAUGCCUACAAAUUGCCCAGACUCUCUUCUGAGCUAUCCAACUAUAUCCCAAAUCCCCAAUAAAACAAUAAUUUGAAUAAAUAUGCUAUUGGAUAUAGUGUAUAUUUAUAAACUAUGAUAGUAUCAAACAGGCUUACAAUUUUUGUUGCUUGUUAAUGCAGUUUUUGAAUUCUUUAACUUAUAUGAUAUAAAGAGAAGCGAUUUCUGUAGAAUUUCAUUCUCCCGAAAAUGUAUCUUAUGACACACUGAAUGAAAAGCAAUAAACACACUGUUAAGCAGAAAA